GAUGAACGCUGGCGGCGUGCCUAAUACAUGCCAGUCGAGCGAACAGACGAGGAGCUUGCUCCUCUGACGUUAGCGGCGGACGGGUGAGUAACACGUGGAUAACCUACCUAUAAGACUGGGAUAACUUCGGGAAACCGGAGCUAAUACCGGAUAAUAUAUUGAACCACAUGGUUCAAUAGUGAAAGACGGUUUUGCUGUCACUUAUAGAUGGAUCCGCGCCGCAUUAGCUAGUUGGUAAGGUAACGGCUUACCAAGGCAACGAUGCGUAGCCGACCUGAGAGGGUGAUCGGCCACACUGGAACUGAGACACGGUCCAGACUCCUACGGGAGGCAGCAGUAGGGAAUCUUCCGCAAUGGGCGAAAGCUUGACGGAGCAACGCCGCGUGAGUGAUGAAGGUCUUCGGAUCGUAAAACUCUGUUAUUAGGGAAGAACAAAUGUGUAAGUAACUAUGCACGUCUUGACGGUACCUAAUCAGAAAGCCACGGCUAACUACGUG
rnacentral:rRNA from 1 species